UAUUAAGUGCCAACUAGCUUAACCGGAAAU
rnacentral:piRNA from 1 species